AUGGCAAGGGAGUGGCUCAAAUUCUUCACAUUGCCCCUGCUCUGCCUGCACCCCCACCCCCACCCCAGGCAAGCGGUUUCUACAGGAUUAUGUCAUUUUUGGUGGAAAGGAUCAAAGAAGUGGAAGGUGGAAAAUCAAUGGAAAGAGUGGAGAGCGCUGAUGCGAAAAGAGCAAGAGCCAGACAAGAAUACCGGGAGAGAGAAGAACAAAGCUUUUCCCUCUCUGCUUCUGGAAUGUAAAUAUUAUCUCAGUUUGAAGAUAGAAGAGGGGCAAAGAACAACAGAUGCUUUCAUUCAACAGUACUUACCAAGUGGCCACUUUGAAUUAGGCCCAUAUGAAUCCAGUCAAAGCACCAUCAGGGGCUGCCAAAACUAGAAGAUCCCAGAUGUCCUGGUGCAGGAGGUGGUGAGUGUGGAUUAUGCGGAUUUGGGAGGGUGCUAGGAAGGAAGAACCCAGCUGGGGGUGGGGAUUGCCUUGUUGAAAGGUAGUGGAAGUGUCAGCCACAAAGCCCUGGCAGUUUGGGAGAAGGUGCCCUGGUGCCCCUGGGGCUCAUCUUUUCCCCAGCACAGGGUGCAAUGCACAAAGGCCCUCUGUGUCUAGCCUCAGGCUCCACUUCUGCCUCUCAGCCAAGCCCUCCAGUUUGGGGAGAAGCCAUUACAGCAGCUGGGCGGAAAAGAGCAGCCUCUGCUGGGGAGAGGGUGCCCGCCUGGAGAAAGAGGCUGCGGUGGCCCUUGUGGCUCAGCCCCUGUACUAGGAAGAGCAGCUUGCUGGAAUGCAGAUUCCUUUAGCCCCAGAGAACAAAAACCCAGGCAUGUAUGAAGCACAGAUGCUCACUGUCUCAGCUUCUUCUGCUUUUAUCGCCCCACCUUUUUUGAAAAAGCGUUAAAAUAAAAGUACAAAAUAAUGGCAGUGGGGCAAAACCCUUGAUUUUUUUUAGUGCAUUGUACCUAUACAUGCGCUACUACUUUGCCCUUGUUUCAAGGGGCAGCGUUCUUAGUGGCCUUUGAGAGGAAAUUUUAACAGGAUAUUUCUUCUCCUUUCAAAUCGUUCUGGCUACUGUACCCGUCUUGCCUUUGAAUGAAGGAAGCUACAGGUAUCCCAUGCCUUCAAGUGAUGGCUACAUAGCACACAGAGAAAUGGGUUGGGUUCAGGCUUGACCUCACCACUUAUUCUGGGCAAGUCUCUUUACCUCCUAAUUCCUCUGUUUCCAAAUCCCUGUGAUAGAAUAUCUUCUCAACUGAAGACAUGGAAACAACUUAAAUGUCCAUCGACAGAUGCAUGGAUUAAGAAGAUAUGGUAUAUACACACAAUGGAAUAGUACUCAGCCAUAAAAGAGAACAAAAUAAUGACACUUGCAGCAACAUAUAUGGAACUAGAGACUCUCAUACUAAGUGAGGUAAGUCAGAAUGAGAAAGACAAAUACCAUAUGAUAUCACUUAUACAUGGAAUCUAAUAUAUGGUACAAAUGAACCUUUCUACAGGAAAAAAAACUCAUGGACAUAGAGAACAGACUUGUGGUUGCCAAGGAUGGGAGAAGGGAGUGGGAUAGACUGGGAAUCUGGGGUUAAUAGAUGUAAACUAUUGUCUUUGGAACAGAUAAGCAAUGAGAUCCUGCUGUAUAGCACUAGGAACUCUUACCUAGUCACUUAUGAUGGAUCAUGAUGGAGAAUAAUAUGAGAAAAAGAAUGUAUAUACGUGUGUAACUGGGUCACUUUGCUGUACAGUAGAAAAUUGACAGAACACUGUAAACCAGCUAUAAUGGAAAACAUAAAAAUCAUUAAAAAAAAAAAAAAAAAAAGAUCAGACAUGUCAAGAGCUAACCAGAGUACAGCCCAGCAGUGUUAAGUCCCCGGAACCUCUGCAAACCUCAUCUGAAUGCACUACUAAUUUCAUUUCUUACCCUAGUGGUCUCUUCAGCCUUUCUCAAACUUUGCCUUACACUCUUCCCUUUGCUGACAGUGCGUUUCUUCUCACUCAACUACUGAAGGGAAAAAAAUCCGCCUUUCAAGAUCGAAUCUAAAGGACACAUCUCCUCUGGUCCUCUCUUCCAGUUCCCUUGAUCCCAGUAAGCCCACUGUUGCUUACUCGUACCUUGCUGGUUACAAGGUACAGAUGCACCAUAAGUACAUAUUUGCCUGCGAUGCCCACUAGACUGUGAAACGCAGUAAUUCUUAAACCCUCAGCACUUAGCUUGGUGCCUGGCACAUGAUAGGUGGUUAAUAUAUAUACAUACAUAAACACGUAAGUUUUCUUCUCACUGCCACACCUGUGGCAAAUGGAAGUCCCCCUGUCAGCCGUGAAAUCUGGAGUUGCAGCUGCGGCCUAUGCCACAGCCACCUGGCAACACCUUAACCCACUGAGCAAGGACAGGAAUAGAACCCACAUCCUAAAAGAGACCACGGUAUGUCCUUAACCCACUGGGCCACAAUGGGAACUCCUAUCUAUGAUUUUUCUUAAUGCCUAGGUAGAAUGGAUGCACUCACGCUUGGAAGACUGGAUGCAGGAGUGUGCUUCGGAAUAAGCGAUGGGCUCACGAAAACUAUAUGGUCGUCCUAGCGAACCUUUCUCAGUCCCCCGCCCAGGGACAAGUGCUUAGGGAUGAUGGCCUCCCUCUGAGGUCCAGCGGGUGCCUACGCUUAGGCGCGCAGCUCCGCAGGGCACCAGCAGGGGGCGGCGUUGCCCCGCAGCUGGCUGCUCCGCGGGUGACUGUUC
rnacentral:lncRNA from 1 species